rnacentral:rRNA from 1 species
AUUCCAGCUCCAAUAGCGUAUAUUUAAGUUGUUGCAGUUAAAAAGCUCGUAGUUGGAUUUUGGUUAAGAGGGCGCGGUCGGCCGUUUGGUCUGUACUGCGUUGUCUUGACUUCCUGAUGAGGACAUGCUCUUGGUUAACGCUGAGACAUGGAGUCAUCGUGGUUACUUUGAAAAAAUUAGAGUGUUCAAAGCGGGCUUACGCUUGAAUAUAUUAGCAUGGAAUAACACUAUAGGACUCCUGUCCUAUCUCGUUGGUCUCGGGAUGGGAGUAAUGAUUAACAGGGACAGUCAGGGGCACUCGUAUUCCGCCGAGAGAGGUGAAAUUCUCAGACCAGCGGAAGACGGACCACUGCGAAAGCAUUUGCCAGGGAUGUUUUCAUUG